rnacentral:rRNA from 1 species
GAGACAGCAGUAGCCGCGGUAAUACGGAGGAUCCAAGCGUUAUCCGGAAUCAUUGGGUUUAAAGGGUCCGUAGGCGGUCUUGUAAGUCAGUGGUGAAAGCCCAUCGCUCAACGGUGGAACGGCCAUUGAUACUGCAGGACUUGAAUUAUUGGGAAGUAACUAGAAUAUGUAGUGUAGCGGUGAAAUGCUUAGAGAUUACAUGGAAUACCAAUUGCGAAGGCAGGUUACUACCAAUUGAUUGACGCUGAUGGACGAAAGCGUGGGUAGCGAACAGGAUUAGAUACCCCAGUAGUCCCUGUCUCUUAUAC